rnacentral:pre_miRNA from 1 species
GGGUGGUGUUCACCCGGUUGGUGUUUUGUUUAAGUUUCAUCACCGGGUAAACAUUCAUUCGC